AAACUUCCAGGUGUCUUGGUCAGACAGCUAAGAAGAUGCUCCUUGGGUACCCUUCAGUAUCAUACAAUGGAAACUUCAGAAUCUUACAGAAUGUUCAUGGUCCCUUAGUGAAGAUGUUCUCAGACUGUUUGAAAUAUGACAACAUGAAAUGUCAGCAGAACUGAAGUGGAUAUACAGAGAGGAGUAAUACUGAAAUGUGCACAGAGGCAUUCUCUCCACUUUGAAUCUUCACCCAUUGAGUAUAACAGGAACCAUAGAGUCUGGUGACUGUGAACAGAGAGGAUCGUUCCUGAGACUGGUCCCCAAAUGCACCAUGUGCAAGUCAAUGGAGGAUAUUUGGACUGUCCACCGGCCCACUGAAGAUGCCAUUCUGCAAGACUAUUCAACAACCAUGUGGAAUUUUGGGCAGCACCAUCCAUUGAGCUGUCUGGGACAUCACAGGUAUCACUAGUAUGCCAUGGGACUCCAACAUAGCACUAAUACUGUAGCACAGAGUCAUUACAAGUAUCACUAGUACGUCCUUCUGUACUGGUUCCUACAUAUCCAGUCCUUGUGCUCAGAUGGUAUAAAAUGAUGGACACUUUUGGAUUCCGGCUUGAAAAGUGGAGACUCUAAAUUUCUCCGAAAAAAACCUUCAAAUUGAAGGUUUUUGAUUAAUUUUCAUAACACAACUCUCAAAUACUUUUCAACUGCUGGACAGUGUUUUGUUCUAUUUUUUCAACAAAACUCAAGAUUUCAAGUUUGAGCUAAAUAUAUUAUCAAACAUAAAUAUGAAUUAUGUAAUAUGAUUUUAUUUUAUUUUUCUACAAUGCUGCUUGAUCAUUAUUCCUUGAAAUAUCUCUCUCCAUUGUUGUAGAAUUGAUCAUUUCAGAGUGCACAGGUAGACUGUGUUUGCCUAUAUCUUUAGAUCACACAGCACACACAAUUUCCAGAGAGUCCCAAGCUGAGCUCCUUUACCGUGAGACCUAAAUGUACAUUUCCAACAAUUAUGAUCAUUUCAGUGUGUCCACUAGACUGCUGUUUGAUACGAUCCAAUUUCUGAAAACUACCUCCUGUAAAAGUGAGGUUAGUACAUGAAUUAACUUAUAGAUUAGAAUCAUAAUUU